rnacentral:misc_RNA from 1 species
GAUGAAGAACGUAGCGAAAUGCGAUACUUGGUGUGAAUUGCAGAAUCCCGUGAACCAUCGAGUCUUUGAACGCAAGUUGCGCCCGAAGCCAUUAGGCCGAGGGCACGCCUGCCUGGGCGUCACACGUCGUUGCCCCCCCAUCUACUCCUUCGGGAUUGCGGGGGGCGGAUGAUGGCCUCUCGUGCGCCUCGUCGCGCGGUUGGCCUAAAUGCCAAGUCCUCGGCGACGCACGCCACGACAAUCGGUGGUUGCGAAACCUCGGUUGCCUGUCAUGUGCGGUCGUCGCGCAUCGAGGGCUCGAAAAAAUUGCCGGGCUUCGGCUCGACUUUCAACGCGACCCCAGGUCAGGCGGGGUUACCCGCUGAAUUUAAGCAUAUCAAUAAGCGGAGGA